rnacentral:rRNA from 1 species
GGUGACGAGUGGCGGACGGGUGAGUAAUGUCUGGGAAACUGCCCGAUGGAGGGGGAUAACUACUGGAAACGGUAGCUAAUACCGCAUAACGUCGCAAGACCAAAGUGGGGGACCUUCGGGCCUCACACCAUCGGAUGUGCCCAGAUGGGAUUAGCUAGUAGGUGGGGUAAUGGCUCACCUAGGCGACGAUCCCUAGCUGGUCUGAGAGGAUGACCAGCCACACUGGAACUGAGACACGGUCCAGACUCCUACGGGAGGCAGCAGUGGGGAAUAUUGCACAAUGGGCGCAAGCCUGAUGCAGCCAUGCCGCGUGUAUGAAGAAGGCCUUCGGGUUGUAAAGUACUUUCAGCGGGGAGGAAGGCGAUAAGGUUAAUAGCCUUGUCGAUUGACGUUACCCGCAGAAGAAGCACCGGCUAACUCCGUGCCAGCAGCCGCGGUAAUACGGAGGGUGCAAGCGUUAAUCGGAAUUACUGGGCGUAAAGCGCACGCAGGCGGUCUGUCAAGUCGGAUGUGAAAUCCCCGGGCUUAACCUGGGAACUGCAUUCGAAACUGGCAGGCUAGAGUCUUGUAGAGGGGGGUAGAAUUCCAGGUGUAGCGGUGAAAUGCGUAGAGAUCUGGAGGAAUACCGGUGGCGAAGGCGGCCCCCUGGACAAAGACUGACG